rnacentral:lncRNA from 1 species
AACACCAUGAUCAGAACAUCUCUUUGCGAACCUGUAAUAAUAUGCAUCAUUAGAGACAGAGAGAUAGGAGGUAAGACAAGAAACUGAACUAAAGCUAGUCCAUGUGAAUGGGUCAAACUACAACUAAGUAACUCAUGAUAAGAUACACAAAGGUAUAUAAUAAAGUUUGCUUUUUGAGAGACAACACAAUAUACAGAAACCAACACUCUCAACACCAUUACUAAUACAUCUCUUUGCCUGCCAUCCUGUCAUUUGAUAUAUCAUUAGAGACACUCAGAUAGUAGCUAAGAAAGGAAAACUGAACAAAAACUAGUCCAUGCGACAGGCUCAAAUUGCAAGUAAACAUUUCAUGGUACAUAUAGUAAAGUUUGCUUUUUUAGAGACAACAAUAUGCAGAAGCCAACACUCUCAAGACCAUUAUUAGGACAACUCUGUGUGAACCUGUAAUUUACUAUUAUAAUUUGAGAUAGGAGUCAAAACAAAGAAUUGAACUAAAAAAAAAUCUAAAGCUGCAUAUUUAGAAACAGAUAUACAAAAGGGUAGAAUAAAGUUUGCUUUUUUUAGUCUGGGUCUAGAGCAAAGAUCUUGGGUACCAUAUUUAGAAACUAUAAACUUAUAUCUUCAUCUUAAGCACCACCAUCACUUUAAACCUCAUAUACUAAAACUACACUCCAAAUCUAGUAACCUAACAGAUAUAGAAACAAAGUAACGAAAAUAGAAACCCAACACGUAAGCGUGAAUUACCCGAAGAGCUCGCCAGUGAGAAAAUCGACAUCACCGACACUUUUUUCUUUUUCCUUGUAAACCUUCAGAUCUGCUUUAAUCACUAACAAAACUCGCCGCGAAUCACUGUGGAAGACGCAAUCCAAGGAAGUAACGAAACCCGAGGAGGCUCUUCAGGGGGUUUUGGAAGGUGGAUCCGAGAAAGGAGUUGUCUUAACCGGAGCUCCGGAAACCCGAACCGGAUAAUCCGCCAUCGUCGCCAACGAUUUUGAGCUGGGGAGAGUUUUCCGUUGGCGGAGAUUUCUUCGGAUUCACUCCGCUUUUAGUACUGUUACAAGCUCCUCUUCUCUCUCUCUCUCCUCUCUCUCUCUCUCUCUACUUUAUUUUUCUAAAUUAUAAAUAUUGUUU